rnacentral:rRNA from 1 species
UACGGAGGGUGCAAGCGUUAUCCGGAUUCACUGGGUUUAAAGGGUGCGUAGGUGGGCAGUUAAGUCAGUGGUGAAAUCUCCGGGCUCAACCCGGAAACUGCCAUUGAUACUAUCUGUCUUGAAUAUCGUGGAGGUGAGCGGAAUAUGUCAUGUAGCGGUGAAAUGCUUAGAUAUGACAUAGAACACCAAUUGCGAAGGCAGCUUACUACCCGAAUAUUGACACUGAGGCACGAAAGCGUGGGGAUCAAACAGG